CCACCGAAGCGAUGCGUCGCGCGAACCGGCCGGCCAUCACCUGGUCGAUCGCCGAUGCGGGUACCCACCGCGGCUAUCGCAUCGUCCCCGGUGCGGAGACCGAGCUUCCCGCCGACACCUUCUCCGUGGGUGAUUUGUGGGCUCUUCAAUACAAAUCCAACGAGCUGGACGACGGUGGGCCGACCUGCUCCGCUCAACUCAACAAUUUUGUCAAUGGGGAAGGGCUCGCGGCGGAUGCGGUGAUCUGGUACCGGGGCGGGUCGCAACACAUUGGUGACCAGGGAUUGUGCGACAGUCCUGGCUCCGACUGCGAGGACGGUUGUGAGACGGUCGGGCCGACGCUUCAACCCUUCGGCGACUGGUCGCCCGCGGGUGGAGGUCACUGAGCCGGCGGCGAAGUCCCGGAACCUCCGGUUCGCGCCGGCGGCGUAAAGGACUCGAGAGGCUUCGCGCUUCCGAAGGGAGGGCUCCGUGUCGCUCCGCAGCUCAUUCGUCGUCGCCGUCCUCGUCCUGUCCUCCGCCGCCCACGGCCAGACCGCAGCCGCUGCCGAACCCCCGAUCAUCAAGCCGGGAGACAACCUCGUGGUGGAGGGCGUUCCGGCCGUCCCGGUCACGCUGGCCAACGACGUGUGGAGGUACACCGAGUUCCGUUCGGCGGCCUUCUCGAGCUGGCACCCCGUCCGCCGGGAGAUGCUGAUCAGCACCCGUUUCGGCAACACGAACCAGGCCCACCUGGUCAAGGCCCCCGGAGGGGCGCGGACGCAGAUGACGUUCUUCCCCGAGCGCGUCGCCGGGAUCCGCUUCGAGCCGAAGACCGGCGACUCGUUCAUCUUCUCGAAGGACAUCGGCGGCAACGAGCAGUUCCAGAUCUACCGCUACGACUUCGCCGACGGAAGCGUGACGGCGCUGACCGACGGCAAGUCCCGCAACACCGGCGCGAAGUGGUCUCACGACGGGAAAUGGGUCGCCUACGGCUCGACGCGGCGCACGGGCACAGACGUCGACAUCUACGUCGUCGCCGCGAGGGAUCCGAAGAGCGAAAGGCGGGUGCUCGAAAACACGGGCGGCGGCUGGCAGGUCGCCGACUGGUCGCCCGACGACACGAAGCUGCUCGUGGUCGAGUUCAUCUCGAUCAACGAGUCGUACUUCUGGCUCGUCGACGCGGCCACCGGCGCCAGGACCGCGCUGACGCCGAAGGGCAAGGAGACGGUGGCCUACCUCAACGGCGUGUUCUCGCGCGACGGCAAGGGCCUCUACGUGACGACCGACGCCGGCUCCGAGUUUCAGCGCCUCGCUUACAUCGAUCUGGCGACGAAGAAGCCCGAGUUCCUCACUCCGGACACGGCCGAAAUCGACGACAUCGACCUCUCCGAGGACGGGACCAGGAUCGUGUAUGUCGCGAAAGAGAAGGGCGUCGGCGUCGUGCGACUCCUCGACACGACGACGCGCCGCGAGAUGCCCGGGCCGAAGCUCCCCCUCGGCGUGGUCUCCGGCACGACCUGGCACAAGGACGGCGGGUCGGUCGCGUUCACAAUGGGAACGCCGCGCUCAAACGACGACGCCUAUUCGUGGGAUCUGAAGACCGGCAAGCUGGACCGCUGGACCACGAGCGAGCUCGGGGGUUUGAACGCGGAGACCUUCGCCGAGGCCGAGCUCGUGUCGUGGAAGAGCUUCGACGGCCGUGAGAUCUCGGGCUUUCUCUACAAGCCCAGUCCUU
rnacentral:misc_RNA from 1 species